UGAUGAACUUUGUUAAAUAAGAAUUCUUAAUUUUGAUGAAAAUAAAUUUUUAAUUUAUAGUAUCUACUACUUCGAGUCUUGUGUAAUUAGACUGUCCUCAGACAGCAUCCUGUAUUUUCUUCCGUAAACUAUAAAGUUUUACUUUUCAUAUUAAAGUUUUUAAUCCAACGUGAUAUAACUAUUUUUUAAAGCAAAAGGAUAAUAAUCCAAAAUUUAGGAUAAUGUCUCCCUCUGGUGGGGAAGGCAGAGGGACAGAAUGGGAGAGAAGAAUAUACACAUGUAUCCCAGAACUGAAAGUAUAAUAAGU
rnacentral:lncRNA from 1 species